UAACGCGAAGAACCUUACCCACCUUUGACAUGUACGGAAUCCUUUAGAGAUAGAGGAGCGCUCGAAAGAGAGCCGUAACACAGGUGCUGCAUGGCUGUCGUCAGCUCGUGUCGUGAGAUGUUGGGUUAAGUCCCGCAACGAGCGCAACCCUUGCCAUUAGUUGCUACAUUUAGUUGAGCACUCUAAUGGGACUGCCGGUGACAAACCGGAGGAAGGUGGGGAUGACGUCAAGUCCUCAUGGCCCUUAUAGGUGGGGCUACACACGUCAUACAAUGGCUGGUACAAAGGGUUGCCAACCCGCGAGGGGGAGCUAAUCCCAUAAAGCCAGUCGUAGUCCGGAUCGCAGUCUG
rnacentral:rRNA from 1 species